rnacentral:rRNA from 1 species
AUUAAAGUUGUUGCAGUUAAAAAGCUCGUAGUUGGACUUGUGUGCGCUGUCCGCGGGUGGCCUGCGCCCAAAAGGGCGUUUCGGUUCGGCCCCGGUGGCGCCUUGAAAUCUGCAGCUGGGGGGACGUUGGCCUUAACUGGUCGGCGACCGCACGCCGGCUGCUCGGUUACUGUGAGAAAAUUAGAGUGUUCAAGGCAGGCAUUGGGUGCAAUUGAAUACAUUAGCAUGGAAUAAUAAAAUAUGGCUCCUGCCGUAUUUUGUUGGUUUUGACUGGUGGGAGUAAUGAUUGAUAGGGACGGUUGGGGGUGCUAGUAUUGAGCGGCCAGAGGUGAAAUUCAUGGAUUCGCUCAAGACUAACUUAUGCGAAAGCAUUCACCAAGGACGUCCUCUUUAAUCAAGAACGAAAGUUGGGGGAUCGAAGACGAUCAGAUACCGUCGUAGUCUCAACCAUAAACUAUGUCAACUUGGGAUCGGCGGUAGUUUUUUCAUUAAGACACUGUCGGGACCACGGGAGAAAUCAAAGUGUCUGGACUCUGGGGGAAGUAUGGUCGCAAGGCUGAAACUUGAAGGAAUUGACGGAAGGGCACCACCAGGAGUGGAGCCUGCGGCUUAAUUUGACUCAACACGGGGAAACUUACCAGGUCCAGAGAUGUAGAGGAUUGACAGAUUGAAGCUCUUUCUUGAUCACUUCGGUGGUGGUGCAUGGCCGUUCUUAGUUGGUGGAGUGAUUUGUCUGGUUAAUUCCGUUAACGAACGAGACCUCAGCCUGCUAGUGUAGUCGGCUGGAUUGCCUUUGGCGAUCCGUGAUUUCGACUUCUUAGAGGGACAAUCGACGCGCAGUCGAUGGAAGUUUGAGGCAAUAACAGGUCUGUGAUGCCCUUAGAUUUCUGGGCCGCACGCGCGCUACACUGCUGGGCUCAGCGAGUUUUACUUGGCCGAGAGGCCCGGUUAAUCUUGUGAAAUCCCAGCGUGCUUGGGCUCGCCUCCUGCAACUGGAGGCGCCAACGAGGAAUUCCUAGUAGACGCAGGUCAUCAACCUGCAUCGAUUACGUCCCUGCCCUUUGUACACACCGCCCGUCGUUCCAUAAGAGUGAGGCAUCCGGUGAAUUCUCGGGAGAGCCUGGGCGUGGCCAGCAAUGGUCUGCUCGGGUUUGAACUUGCAUAAACUUGGUGCCUAUGAUUAGGG